GUAUAGCUCAGUUGGUAGAGUGCUUGUCUCGUAAGCACAAGGCCCUGGGUUCAAUACCCAGCAC
rnacentral:tRNA from 1 species